ACUCCUUCCAAAUGGCCAUCCCAGCAUGCUUCCAAGCAGGCUUCAUCCGUUCCUCUGGACCCUCAUCUCUUAAGACCUGCCGCCUAUAAAAAGGAUUAUAUCUUGAGACCCUAUCCUCUAAAAUUUUUUCCACACCCAAAACAAAAAAUCUCUGGGUCAAAAGUCUAAAACGCUUAGGCUGGCAACCAUCAGAUCCUUGCCCAUGGUGUCCUCAAGCCUACUCUCAUGAAAUGGACAACAGUACACGCAUAUGGGGCCAGUUCCACAUAUUUGGCAACCAGACCAGCAUCCAGGACAACACAAAGAUCUGCAAUCAGAACUAUUGAACUUCUCCAUUCAGACCGCCACUCACACCUAUGGGAAAAGGGUGGCCUGCAGGAGCCAAGAAGUCUGGAGCAGCCGAAAAACCACAAAGAAGUGAAACAGCCAGUUC
rnacentral:lncRNA from 1 species